rnacentral:miRNA from 1 species
UCGAUGUUUUUUCCAGUACUUUAG